rnacentral:rRNA from 1 species
GAUGAACGCUGGCGGCGUGCCUAAUACAUGCAAGUCGAGCGAACAGACGAGGAUCUUGCUCCGCUGACGUGAGCGGCGGACGGGUGAUUAACACGAGUAUAACCGGCAUAUAAGACUGGGAUAACUUCAGGAAACCUGAUCUAAUACCGGUUAAGAUAGUGAACCGCAUGGUUCUUUAGUGAAAGACGGAUUUGAUGUGCCUUAUAGGUGUAUCCUAGCCGCAUUAGCUAGUUGGUACGGUAACGGCUUACCAAGGCAACGAUGCGUAGCCGACCUGAGAGGGUGAUCAGUCACACUGGAACUGAGACACGGUCCAGACUCCUACGGGAGGCAGCAGUAGGGAAUCUUGCGCAAUGGGCGAAAGCCUGACGGAGCAACGCCGCGUGAGUGAUGAAGGUCUUCGGAUCGUAAAACUCUGUUAGUAGGGAAGAACAAAUGUGAAAGUAACUAUGCACGUCUUGACGGUACCUACUCAAAAAGCCCCGGCUAACUACGUG